rnacentral:tRNA from 1 species
GUCCUGGGUAGUGAACGCCUGUACCGUGCCGUUCUGACCGGCGCGGGAGAUCGAGCGUGCUGCGCGUGCCGCCGCACCCAGGGCU